UCCCUGGUGGCCUAGCAGGUUAAGGACCUGGCAUUGUCACUGCCAUGGUGCAGGUUCGAUCCCUGGCCCAGGAA
rnacentral:tRNA from 1 species